GCACCCCGCCUGGUCUCACAGUCUGCGCUUGUGUGUGUCUCAUUUCAGGUACACGUUCCUGGAAUACGCAUCUCCUGCCCAUGCCUUGGACGCCGUGAAGAAUGCUGAUGGCUACAAGCUGGACAAGCAGCACACCUUCAGGGUCAACCUCUUCACGGACUUUGACAAGUAUAUGACUAUCAGUGAUGAGUGGGAUAUUCCAGAGAAACAACCUUUCAAAGACUUGGGAAAUUUACGUUACUGGCUUGAAGAAGCAGAAUGCAGAGAUCAGUACAGUGUCAUUUUUGAGAGUGGAGACCGUACUUCCAUAUUCUGGAACGAUGUGAAGGAUCCCGUCUCUAUCGAAGAGAGAGCGAGGUGGACGGAGACAUACGUGCGUUGGUCUCCCAAGGGCACCUACCUGGCCACGUUCCAUCAGCGAGGCAUUGCUCUCUGGGGUGGAGAGAAAUUCAAACAAAUCCAGAGAUUCAGCCACCAGGGGGUUCAUCUCAUUGACUUCUCGCCUUGUGAAAGGUAAGCAGUGAGGAAAGUCAGGUGGAGUCCGUUCUCACUUUGUGCCGGCCUCUGCGUAAUUGUGCAACUCAGAUUUUGCAGUAAUUUCAAACCUGAUGGAAGUAUGGGGGCGUAGAAGGAGCUCGUGUGUACUCUUUACCCAUGUUCCCCACUUAUUAGCACUUUGUGGGGUUUGCUUUAUCGUUUCUCCGCUCAGACACACGUAAUUUUGUCCUGAGCUGUUGGGCGUAAGUGGAAGCGUCGAGUCCCUGUCAGCCCGUGUACAUUUCUAGGGGCAGGGAAAGCCCUUCACCUGUCCACGGUGCCGCCCCGACUGCAGCGUCCGUCU